rnacentral:lncRNA from 1 species
GGGAUGAUAGGGGAAAGGGUAGCAUUGACAGCUGAAGACUGUCUUUCUUCCCUUCUCCAGUGCCUCUUUGAAAAAUAUGAAGUCAAAACUACGUACGGAGCAGUCACGCCUGCGGAUGAUCAAAGGUCAGUUUCCAGACAACAUAAGUUCCAGAUAACAAGCCUAUUUAAGUGAGGUUACAAACAGAAGUGGCACUCUGCCACCCGGAAAAUGGUCCUCACCAGAACCAACCAUCCUGGCACCCUGAUCUUGAACUUCC